rnacentral:tRNA from 1 species
GCCGAAUUGGUGUAAGGGUUAGCACAAGAGCUUCCAACACUCUUUGAGCGGGUUCGAGUCCUGCAUUCGGUGCCA